rnacentral:sRNA from 1 species
CCAAAAAAAAUCAAAAA